ACCUGCCCAUCAGAAGGGGAUAACACUUGGAAACAGGUGCUAAUACCGUAUAACAAUCGAAACCGCAUGGUUUUGAUUUGAAAGGCGCUUUCGGGUGUCGCUGAUGGAUGGACCCGCGGUGCAUUAGCUAGUUGGUGAGGUAACGGCUCACCAAGGCCACGAUGCAUAGCCGACCUGAGAGGGUGAUCGGCCACAUUGGGACUGAGACACGGCCCAAACUCCUACGGGAGGCAGCAGUAGGGAAUCUUCGGCAAUGGACGAAAGUCUGACCGAGCAACGCCGCGUGAGUGAAGAAGGUUUUCGGAUCGUAAAACUCUGUUGUUAGAGAAGAACAAGGAUGAGAGUAACUGUUCAUCCCUUGACGGUAUCUAACCAGAAAGCCACGGCUAACUACGUGCCAGCAGCCGCGGUAAUACGUAGGUGGCAAGCGUUGUCCGGAUUUAUUGGGCGUAAAGCGAGCGCAGGCGGUUUCUUAAGUCUGAUGUGAAAGCCCCCGGCUCAACCGGGGAGGGUCAUUGGAAACUGGGAGACUUGAGUGCAGAAGAGGAGAGUGGAAUUCCAUGUGUAGCGGUGAAAUGCGUAGAUAUAUGGAGGAACACCAGUGGCGAAGGCGGCUCUCUGGUCUGUAACUGACGCUGAGGCUCGAAAGCGUGGGGAGCAAACAGGAUUAGAUACCCUGGUAGUCCACGCCGUAAACGAUGAGUGCUAAGUGUUGGAGGGUUUCCGCCCUUCAGUGCUGCAGCUAACGCAU
rnacentral:rRNA from 1 species